AGCGAACGCUGGCGGCAGGCCUAACACAUGCAAGUCGAACGGAUCCUUCGGGAUUAGUGGCGGACGGGUGAGUAACACGUGGGAACGUGCCCUUUGGUUCGGAACAACCCAGGGAAACUUGAGCUAAUACCGGAUGUGCCCUUCGGGGGAAAGAUUUAUCGCCAUUGGAGCGGCCCGCGUCUGAUUAGCUAGUUGGCGAGGUAACGGCCCACCAAGGCGACGAUCAGUAGCUGGUCUGAGAGGAUGAUCAGCCACACUGGGACUGAGACACGGCCCAGACUCCUACGGGAGGCAGCAGUGGGGAAUCUUGCGCAAUGGGCGAAAGCCUGACGCAGCCAUGCCGCGUGAAUGAUGAAGGUCUUAGGAUUGUAAAAUUCUUUCAGCGGGGACGAUAAUGACGGUACCCGCAGAAGAAGCUCCGGCUAACUUCGUG
rnacentral:rRNA from 1 species